ensembl:lncRNA
CGGAGCGAUUUGUCCUACACUAAUAAUCUUUUUGGAAAAACUGAACAUUUGCUAUCUAACUGAGAGUCUCCUCAUUGAAAACAUCUGAAGUUCUUCAAAGGUAAAUGAUUUUAUUUGAAUGCUUUUCUUGUUUUGUGAAAAUGUUGCAUGCUGAAUGCUAGGCUUAAUGCUAUGCUAGCUAUCAAUACUCUUACACAAAUGCUUGUUUAGCUAUGGUUCAAAAGCAUAUUUUGAAAAUCUGAGAUGACAGUGUUGUUAACAAAAGGCUAAGCUUCAGAGCUAAUACAUUUAUUUCAUUUCAUUUGCGCUUUUCAUGAAUAGUUAACGUGGCGUUAUGGUAAUGAGCUUGAGGCUAUAAAUAGGAUCCCGGAUACGGGAUUGCUCGUCGCAACAGGUUAAAUAGUACCCGCAAAACACCAGUCUCAACGCCAACAGUGAAGAGGUCGACUCCGGGAUGCUGGCUUCUGGUUGGAGUAUGUAUGUACAGUCACUGUGGGGACGACAUCAUCGAGGCACUUAUUGAUGAAGCCAGUGACUGAUGUGGCGUACUCCUCAAUGCCAUCGGAAGAAUCCCGGAACAUAUUCCAGUCUGUGCUAGCAAAACAGUCCUGUAGCUUAGCAUCUGCUUCAUCUGACCACUUUUUUAUUGACCGAGUCACUGGUGCUUCCUGAUAAAAUGUUUGCUUGUAAGUAGGAAUCAGGAGGAUAGAUUUGCCAAAUGGAGGGCGAGGGAGAGCUUGGAACACAUCUCUGUGUGUGGAGUAAAGGUGGUCUAGAGGUUUUUUCCUUCUGGUUGCACAUUUAACAUGCUGGUGGAAAUUUGGUAAAACAGAUUUAAGUUUCCCUGCAUUAAAGUCCCCGGCCACUAGGGGCACCGCCUCUGGAUGAGUGUUUUCCUGUUUGCUUAUGGCGGUAUACAGCUCAUUGAGUGCAGUCUUAGAGCCAGCAUCGGUCUGUGGUGGUAUGUAGACAGCUACAAAAAAUACAGAUGAAAACUCUCUAGGUAGUGUGGUUUACAGCUUAUCAUGAGCUUAUCAUGAGAUACUCUACCUCAGGCGAGACUUCCUUCGAUAUCGUGCACCAGCUGUUGUUUACAAAUAUACAUAGACCGCCAUCCCUUGUCUUACCAGAGGCUGCUGUUCUAUACUGCCGAUAUAGUGUAAAACCCACCAGCUGUAUGAUGUUCAUGUCGUCGUUCAGCCACGACUCGGUGAAACAUAAGAUAUUACAGUUUUUAAUGUCCCGUUGGUAGUUUAACUUUCUCGUAGGUCAUCAAUUUUAAUUCAGAAGGCAGCUCGACCUCCGACACCCUUUUUAUCAGUCUUCUCUUCUUCACCCAAAUGACGGGGAUUUGGGCCUGUUCCCGGGAAAGCAGCAUAUCCUUCACGUCGGACACAUUAAAGGAAAAAGCUUCUAACAGUUUGUGGUGAGUAAUCGCUGUACUGAUGUCCGGAAGCUAUUUUCAGUCACAAGAGAAGGUAGCAGCAACAUUAUGUACAAAAUAAGUUUAAAAAAUAAAUAUAUUACAACCAACUCAAAAAACAACAACAUAAUAAGAGUUGGUUAGGAGCACGUAAAACGUCAGCCAUCCUCUCCGGCACCAUUCUAC